rnacentral:rRNA from 1 species
UGAACGCUGGCGGCGUGCCUCCUACAUGCACGUCGAGCGAACGGACGAGAAGCUUGCUUCUCUGAUGUUAGCGGCGGACGGGUGAGUAACACGUGGAUAACCUAUCUAUAAGACUGGGAUAACUUCGGGAAACCGGAGCUAAUACCGGAUGAUAUUUUGAACCGCAUGGUUCAAAAGUGAAAGACGGUCUUGCUGUCACUUAUAGAUGGAUCCGCGCUGCAUUAGCUAGUUGGUAAGGUAACGGCUUACCAAGGCAACGAUGCAUAGCCGACCUGAGAGGGUGAUCGGCCACACUGGAACUGAGACACGGUCCAGACUCCUACGGGAGGCAGCAGUAGGGAAUCUUCCGCAAUGGGCGAAAGCCUGACGGAGCAACGCCGCGUGAGUGAUGAAGGUCUUCGGAUCGUAAAACUCUGUUAUUAGGGAAGAACAUAUGUGUAAGUAACUGUGCACAUCUUGACGGUACCUAAUCAGAAAGCCACGGCUAACUACGUG